AAAAUAUUGGUAAUGGAAAAUAAUCAUUAAACAAAAAAAAGAAAAGAAAAAAAGAACAAGAACAAGAACAAAAGAUAGUGAAUAGAGAGAGAGGGUAUCAUCCUCUUCAUGCUUUCAAAAACCGUUUCCUCCAUUUUUGAACGGAGAAAGCUUCGGUUAAGUGUUCUUCUUGCAGGUUUCAGCCGAAUUGAAGGUUGGAGAUUCAGUGUAUUUAUUCUCUUGCUUUAAACGGUAUGAGCUGCUGUGUUAGAUGAAGGAAAAUAUUGGUUGUUAUUAUUUAAACUUAGUCGUUGUCCGUAAGGGAUAUUUACGGUCCGAAUGCUGGAAUGUGCAACAAUUGAUUUCCUACAACAAUUAAAUUUUGAGUCCGAUGUAAAUGUAAGCGAUUAUUUGAUGUUUAAUUAAAUUUUUGAGUUUGCAGGUCAGAAAUCUUAAGAUAAAUAUAUGACUACUAGUCGAUUAGGUUCAAUCAUGUGUACUCGUGAUAAUCAGCAUCUAACAGAAAAUCCCGUACUCAUCGAGUUGGUGAAAUUUUUUUUUUUUUUUUGGUCAGCAUGUACCUGUAGGAUUUUAUGCUAUAUUAAGUUUAGUUAGGGAUUUAUCCCAACAUUCAAGAUGUUUAAUAAAUAGGCAUAUAUGUUAGUUGAUAAUGGUUCGUACUACGUAUAGGUUUGGUGUUGAUGCUGCUAUGUGAGCAUUUAGAUAAGGUUAUAAUGCGCUGAACGUGAACAGGGAGUUAUAUAUAUAUUACGAAUAGAGGGUGCAUGAAAUGAAAUGAAUAAAUAAGUUAAUAGUUGAGAUAUUGAUAUAUUAAUCAUGA